AUUGAACGCUGGCGGCAGGCCUAACACAUGCAAGUCGAGCGGAUGAAGGGAGCUUGCUCCUGGAUUCAGCGGCGGACGGGUGAGUAAUGCCUAGGAAUCUGCCUGGUAGUGGGGGAUAACGUCCGGAAACGGGCGCUAAUACCGCAUACGUCCUGAGGGAGAAAGUGGGGGAUCUUCGGACCUCACGCUAUCAGAUGAUCCUAGGUCGGAUUAGCUAGUUGGUGGGGUAAAGGCCUACCAAGGCGACGAUCCGUAACUGGUCUGAGAGGAUGAUCAGUCACACUGGAACUGAGACACGGUCCAGACUCCUACGGGAGGCAGCAGUGGGGAAUAUUGGACAAUGGGCGAAAGCCUGAUCCAGCCAUGCCGCGUGUGUGAAGAAGGUCUUCGGAUUGUAAAGCACUUUAAGUUGGGAGGAAGGGCAGUAAGUUAAUACCUUGCUGUUUUGACGGUACCAACAGAAUAAGCACCGGCUAACUUCGUG
rnacentral:rRNA from 1 species